rnacentral:rRNA from 1 species
AGAGUUUGAUCCUGGCUCAGGACGAACGCUGGCGGCGUGCUUAACACAUGCAAGUCGAGCGGUAAGGCUCCUUCGGGAGUACACGAGCGGCGAACGGGUGAGUAACACGUGAGCAAUCUGCCCUUCACAUCGGGAUAACUCCGGGAAACCGGUGCUAAUACCGAAUACGACCACUUCAGGCAUCUGAUGGUGGUGGAAAGUUCCGGCGGUGAAGGAUGAGCUCGCGGCCUAUCAGCUUGUUGGUGGGGUAACGGCCCACCAAGGCAACGACGGGUAGCCGGCCUGAGAGGGUGACCGGCCACACUGGGACUGAGACACGGCCCAGACUCCUACGGGAGGCAGCAGUGGGGAAUAUUGGACAAUGGGCGAAAGCCUGAUCCAGCAACGCCGCGUGAGGGAUGACGGCCUUCGGGUUGUAAACCUCUUUCAGCAGGGACGAAGCGCAAGUGACGGUACCUGCAGAAGAAGCACCGGCCAACUACGUGCCAGCAGCCGCGGUAAUACGUAGGGUGCGAGCGUUGUCCGGAAUUAUUGGGCGUAAAGGGCUCGUAGGCGGUCUGUCACGUCGGGAGUGAAAACACGGGGCUUAACCCCGUGCCUGCUUCCGAUACGGGCUGACUAGAGGUAUGCAGGGGAGAACGGAAUUCCUGGUGUAGCGGUGAAAUGCGCAGAUAUCAGGAGGAACACCGGUGGCGAAGGCGGUUCUCUGGGCAUUACCUGACGCUGAGGAGCGAAAGUGUGGGGAGCGAACAGGAUUAGAUACCCUGGUAGUCCACACCGUAAACGUUGGGCGCUAGGUGUGGGACUCAUUCCACGAGUUCCGUGCCGCAGCUAACGCAUUAAGCGCCCCGCCUGGGGGAGUACGGGCCGCAAGGCUAAAACUCAAAUGAAUUGACGG